rnacentral:rRNA from 1 species
UACAGAGGUGGCAAGCGUUGUUCGGAAUUACUGGGCGUAAAGGGCGCGUAGGCGGCCUACUAAGUCAGACGUGAAAUCCCCAGGCUUAACUUGGGAACUGCGUCUGAUACUGGGAGGCUUGAGUGCGGGAGAGGGAUGUGGAAUUCCAGGUGUAGCGGUGAAAUGCGUAGAUAUCUGGAGGAACACCGGUGGCGAAGGCGGCAUCCUGGACCGACACUGACGCUGAGGCGCGAAAGCUAGGGGAGUAAACGGG